UUUAAAUUGAGAGUUUGAUCCUGGCUCAGGACGAACGCUGGCGGCGUGCCUAACACAUGCAAGUCGAGCGAGGGGAGUUCUUCGGAACAAACCUAGCGGCGGACGGGUGAGUAACACGUGGGCAACCUGCCUCAAAGAGGGGAAUAGCCUCCCGAAAGGGAGAUUAAUACCGCAUAAAGUUAUUUUUUCGCAUGAAGAGAUAACCAAAGGAGCAAUCCGCUUUGAGAUGGGCCCGCGGCGCAUUAGCUAGUUGGUGAGGUAACGGCUCACCAAGGCGACGAUGCGUAGCCGACCUGAGAG
rnacentral:rRNA from 1 species